UACGAGGGGGGCAAGCGUUGUUCGGAAUUAUUGGGCGUAAAGGGCGCGUAGGCGGUGCGGUAAGUCACCUGUGAAAACUCUGGGCUCAACUCAGAGCCUGCAGGCGAAACUGCCGUGCUUGAGUGUGGGAGAGGUGCGUGGAAUUCCCGGUGUAGCGGUGAAAUGCGUAGAUACUGGGAGGAACACCGGUGGCGAAGGCGGCUACCUGGACCGGUUCUGACGCUGAUGCGCGAAAGCGUGGGUAGCAAACAGG
rnacentral:rRNA from 1 species